rnacentral:lncRNA from 1 species
AGCGGAAAAAGUUGAUUAAUUAAGAUAACUUUUUACUAUAAAAGAUAUAUUACAUUUUCUUGUCAGAAUGACCCAAAUAUUACACAUACCAAAAUCAUAUUUGGAGUUAGUGGUACAAAUAAUAAAACAGACAGCAGUUUUUGUUCAACUUUUUUUUUAAUAAAUGCAGUUUUUACUUCCCUGACAGAAGUUGUCACACACUAUAGUACUAUUUUAAUUGUUUGAAACAACUUUACAAAUUACAACACACGCAUAAAACUAGUGUUAUUCCGAAAAAAUGUAUGCAUUUUAACAACACAUCUAUUUUAAAAACUGUAAUACAAGAAGAUAAAUCAAAAUAGAUUCGAAAUAUAUAGUUUUUAAAAUAGAUGAGUUGUUAAAGGAAUAUUUUACUCACAUUGACUUGGGGAGAACUCUGCAGAGUUUAGGAGAUAUUCAAGUUUUUUCUCGAAAUGAUCAUGAAAUACAGAAUAUUUGGUAAACAUAUGAUUGUUUUAGUUCGGAAUAGCAUUAGUUUUAUGUUUGCCGGAAAAGGAUUACAACACGCAUUAGCGACCGCCCACCUUGACGAUACCUAACUGCUAGAAACACCGGUUUAAACUUGUAGAUCAUUGUAUAAGCCUGUAUAUGUCAAAAUAAUGAUGUUGCCUGCUAUUAAUUAAAGCAGGAAUGAAAAAUAUUGGUAAUACAAUUAUCGCUAAUUGAUUACUAAUGGUUGGAGAAUCCAGUCUAUUAUUUUAGAUCAGUGGCCUUUGUUGCAAAUUUAUAUAUCGUCAAAAUGAGCGCAACGCUUGUUGUCAAUUUUAAAACUACUACUUUGCUUUGCAAAUGCGUCUAUAGACAAUACCAAAACCACGGAUAUAAGUUACAUAACUUGUGAGAGUCAAUUUCAAGUAAGAUCACAAACGAAAUGGUAAAGAAAUAUACUAAAUAACAGCCGAAGCCAGGUGCACUGAAUUCAAACUUCAGGGGUCAUCUUACAUGAAACUGAUCAGCCACACUGAUUAUACACUAGUUGCAAUAAAUUAAGAACCGUACAUAACAUAUAGUAACAUACCAAUACAUCUGGUCAACAGUUUAUUACAAAUGACCAGUUUUUCAACUUAGGCCAGUUUUAUACAUCGAAUUUCGGUCGCGUCGAAUGCAAUUCAAACAAUAGAUAAUGAAGCUUAAUGAGGUUUAUUAUCUAUAUUGUCUUAAUUGCAUUCGAGGCGACCAAAAUUCGACGUAUAAAACAGACCUUACAGGCUAAAGCUCUUCGUGAAGCUUUACAUCGUAACACAAAUUCAUUGCUUCACAUGAAUUACAAACUUCUCAACAUAUUUAUCUUAAUGUCCACUAUGGAAU